rnacentral:tRNA from 1 species
GGGGGUGGGGGUCAGUGGUAGAACAUGUGCUUAGCAUGCACAAGGUCCUGGGUUCCAUCCCUAGCACUGCCC